GGGUUAAAUCCCGGGAGGCGGCGCCGCUCCGCCGCCCCGCGCCCCGCGCCCGCCCCCCGCAGCCUUGAACUUGCUGAGCGCGGCGAGGUCGUGCGGGGCGGCGAGGCCUCUUCCCUUGCGUGCGGCCAAGUUUGGAGAAGGCGAAAAAGCGCCUGCACCUAAGUAGGAAAAGGAGACGCUCCCAGUGGGAGGCCUGGGGCUGCCGGGGUUCGAGUCCCACUCCAGCGCUCGGAGACCUUGGGCGAGUGACUCAACCUCUCGGUGUCUGUUUCCUCACUUGGAAAGUGGAGAAAAUGACAGUCCCCUUUUGUGCGCAGUGUUGGGUGGGAAGUCAAUCAGAUAAUGCCUGUGAGGGGCCAAGGGCAGGGCCUGGCACCUGGCGAGGAGGUAAACACCAGGCGGCCGACAGCGCGCGCUCUGGCGGUUCUUCCCCGGCGUGGGCGCGGCGGGUUGGGGCAGGGCGGCGGGGCCGGUUCCGAGGGCUCGGAGCCCUCGCUGGCAUCGAGGGCAGGACCCGCCCUGCCAGGACGGAGCCCGGCCACCGCGCCCGCCCCUCAAGAGGCAAGAAGUGACUUUAAAACCUUUUCUUUGUUUUUAAUACAGAGUGCUAAACUUCCUCCAUACCCCCUCCCCCGCCGCCUUCCACUUUCUAAAAAAAAAAAAGGUAUUUGUAAAUGUAUUAAUUAAGAGACUAAAUUAGGGGGAAAAUACAGGAGCAGUAAGGCCUCAGGAGAUCCUUUGUUGUUGAUUCUUGAUUAUCCACAUAGUCUUAUUGUCUCCCUGAAUUGUCAUCUCCAACACUUAUAUAACCUCAGGCUGGCUUCGCUGCGUGCGAAGUGUGCGCAGAGAAUGCAAACUAACUUUACUGACCUUAGCGAAAUGAAGUCUGGAAGAGAAAGUCUCCUAAAAAGUGCCUUUUAUUGUUUCCUGUGUACACUUGUUGAAUCUGUACAGUGACUCAGUGAAGACUUUAGGUUGGACUAUUUGGAAAUGCUUUUUCGGAGGUCAAAAAUGGUUGAAAGUUGGCAAUUUCAUAUAAUUCAACUUAUAUAUAUUGUUAUCCUUGUUUUAUCGAGGUGGCAGUGGAGUCUCAGAGAGAGCAGGUAACUUUCCUGUGGUCUCAGGUCCAGGAAGUGGGGGAGCUGAGCCUUGAAAUCAGGGCCGUCUGAUGUCCAGACCUGCUCCCAGCCUGAACGGGGUGGUGGCACAAGUGAGUUUGGCCUCUCGGCUCCCUGAGGGCUGCCUCCUUUAGUGAAGGCAGGGGCUUCACAGAGUGCCCGUCCAGCUCCACUUUGUGUUCUCAGAAAACGUUGUCUGGACCACCAAACUCACGGACUUUAGUUGAAAAAAGUUGGAUGGGUUUCCAUGGAACCAUCAAAAGAGCCUCGUCCUAGAUGUGUGAUCUUGGGCAAAAGGCUUACCCUCCCUCAGUUUCCUCAUGUGUUGGCAGCUCCUUCAUAGGGUGGCUGGAAGGGAGUAGGUGAAAUAUCCAGUGUGGAAGUGAUUACCCAAUGCCUGGCACACAGUUGCUGUUUGAUAAAUGGAAAGAACAUGAGUUCUUAGAUCUAGUGGAUCCCAUCUAGAAAAACAAAAUAUUUUUAAAAUUACAUUUUUAAAUGAAAAGAAAAAAGUAACAGCAACGUUUGGAUAAAAGUUGGUGCUCAAAGAACAAAUAGCUGGGAUCCUUUUAUAAGGUUGCCAUCAUAGCUUUGGAGUCUUAAGGAAAAACAAGGGUGAUAGCGUCAGAGAACAGAGCGUAUUGGAUUGAAAAGGCAUCCAGCUUGCUCUACAGGCCAAGCCGAGAUUCAACAACAGGAAAUGUGAAACUCUCUCUGCUCCGUUAGACCUCCUUUCCUGGCACUUGGUGGAAGCUUUUUUAUUUCUGUUUGUUUGUGUCAGCGGACAGGUGGUAUGGGUUAAAGAGUGAGGGAAACAGAAAUGCCACUGAGGCGUCUAUGCCUCACAGCCAGAAAAGAUCUACUGGAACUUGAUCGACAGCGAACCCAGUACCGGGAGCGCACAUUGAAGACACAUAUAGGCCCAUCAGUCAUUGUCUUCACCCUGAGCUGCCACAUAAGAAUUCCAACCACCACUGAGGCCUCCACGCAUUGAGGAAGCCCCUGCCACGUGGAGAGGCUGUGGACGAGAGCUCCUGUCCCAGCCGACAGCCAGAUCAACCACCGGACACGUAGACAGUGAUUUUAAGCACCAGAGAGAAGAAACCCUGACCUGUGGGCAAGAACUCCAUCCAAGCUCUAGCCACAAGCUGUCAUUUAUCUGGGUGAUGCCGCUGAGACUAUGACUUAAAUUCUCAAAUUUCUCUAAUGACUUGUCUGCAUAAAUGACCUUUGGUUGCUGUUGGAGGUGGCCAUAUAAGCAAGCAUGAAGUGACUUAAGGGGUGCCAUCUGGGUGAGCCAAACAGCUCAACACCUUCUCCCCUGCUGACCAUGGUGCCAUCAUCAGGGAUUCACGCCACUGAAUCAAAAGGAAGUUUUUGGUGUACAAGAGUCUCCUAAUAAAAAUAUCCCUGGAUGGAUGCUUAUGGCAGCUAUGUGCUCAGGCAUUUGGCUAGACUCUGGGGAUGCUGGAGUGAACACAGUCCCUGCCUCAUGGAGCAUGCGUUACAAUGUAGGAGACAGACAAACAGUUCACCAGACUCUUCCCAGAAAAAAUGGUAAGAGUUGAAUGUGUUCAGAAAGAGGUUCUGAACGGAGGCUUCUAACAGGACAGCUCUGCGGCUGCAGACAUGGAGGAGCUGAGCUCUGCAUCUUGCCUGCAUCAUUCACCCACCAAAAAUGAAGAUCCUGGAAACUCUCCUGCCAUCCCUCACCCGUGACAGAUCUGCUAUGCCAGCAUCCAAAAGGAUGCUGCUCUUCUGGUCCAGAAUUCUCUGAUUGCAAAGAGAAAAAAAUUUGUAAAAUUUC